UACGUAGGUGGCAAGCGUUGUCCGGAUUUACUGGGCGUAAAGAGCGCGUAGGCGGCCAUACAGGUCCGUUGUGAAAACUCGAGGCUCAACCUCGAGACGUCGAUGGAAACCGUAUGGCUAGAGUCCGGAAGAGGAGAGUGGAAUUCCUGGUGUAGCGGUGAAAUGCGCAGAUAUCAGGAAGAACACCCGUGGCGAAGGCGGCUCUCUGGGACGGUACUGACGCUGAGACGCGAAAGCGUGGGGAGCGAACAGG
rnacentral:rRNA from 1 species